rnacentral:lncRNA from 1 species
UUAGCACCAAAAAGAAAGAAAGAAAAAGAAAAGUAUUAGAUAAUAUUCUCUAUAACUCAUUUAGAGUCGGUAAAAUCUGCAUCGAUCACAUCCCCAUCGGGUCCCUUGCCUGAUGAUGGUGAUUCUGAGGAGCCAGACUCAGGGCCAGGUGGUGUAGGCCCUCCUGGACCUGUAGCUGCUCCUGGCUGGUUGUAGAGGGACUGACCAAUCUGCAUAACUUCCUGAUUCAGGGCAGCCAUGGCAUCUUUAAUAUCUUGGGUUGAACCACCGGAAAUUGCAUCUUUAAGCUCUCCCAGUUUGGCUUCAACCUUCUCUUUCACAGGGCCAGGAACCUUGUCUCCAAGUUCCUUCAACUGUUUCUCAGUCUGGUACACAACAGAGUCUGCUUGGUUCUUUGUGUCGAUUGCAUCCCUCCUUUCUUUGUCCUCCUUUGCAAAUCUCUCAGCCUCCUUCACCAUCCUGUCCACC